rnacentral:rRNA from 1 species
GGAUGAAUAUUGGUCAAUGGGCGCGAGCCUGAACCAGCCAUGCCGCGUGCAGGAUUAAGGCCCUAUGGGUCGUAAACUGCUUUUGAAUGGGAAUAAUGUGAGGCACGUGUGCUUUAUUGCAGGUACCAUUCGAAUAAGGAUCGGCUAACUCCGUGCCAGCAGCCGCGGUAAUACGGAGGAUCCGAGCGUUAUCCGGAUUUAUUAGGUUUAAAGGGUACGUAGGCUGCUAUGUAAGUCAGGGGUGAAAUAC